AACAAACGCUGGCGGCGUGCCUAAUACAUGCAAGUCGAACGGGGAAAGGCUUCGGCCAAGUACCAGUGGCGCACGGGUGAGUAAUACGUGGGUAAUUUUCCUAGAAGUGGGGGAUAACCAGUCGAAAGACUGGCUAAUACCGCAUAAGACCACGAAAUCUGCGGAUUUUGAGGUAAAAGGUCUUUCGCUUCUAGAUAAGCCCGCGUGAGAUUAGCUAGUUGGUGAGGUAAUGGCUCACCAAGGCGACGAUCUCUAACUGGUCCUUAGAGGAUGAUCAGUCACACUGGAACUGAGACACGGUCCAGACUCCUACGGGAGGCAGCAGUAGGGAAUAUUGCACAA
rnacentral:rRNA from 1 species